ensembl:snoRNA
ACCUUCAGUAUAAGCACUGUGCUAAAAUUGCAGAAACUAGGAUCACAUCUAGGUUUUUGUAAAAAUGCUAGCAGCAGAGCACAUACAAGAAGAAAAGUAACUGCACUAGACUGUAAAGACUGAGGUAAAGAAAGACCUCUUUCUUAAUGUCCAGUGUCCUCAGUCUUAAGAUUUGGUGUAAUAUGU